GCGGAUAUGAUGAAAUUGGUAAACAUGUCAUAUUUAGGAUAUGAUGACUUUGGUCUUGCAAGUUCAAUUCUUGCUAUCCGCA
rnacentral:tRNA from 1 species